rnacentral:miRNA from 1 species
CAUGAAACACAUGGCCUGUUCCU